rnacentral:rRNA from 1 species
UACGGAGGAGGCAAGCGUUAUCCGGAAUUAUUGGGCGUAAAGCGUCCGUAGGUGGUGAUUCAAGUCAGCGGUUAAAGCGUGGGGCUUAACCUCAUACAGGCCGUUGGAACUGGAUUGUUAGAGUGCGGUAGGGGUCGAGGGAAUUCCCAGUGUAGCGGUGAAAUGCGUAGAUAUUGGGAAGAACACCGGUGGCGAAAGCGCUCGACUGGGCCUGCACUGACACUGAGGGACGAAAGCUAGGGGAGCGAAAGGG